CUGACCUGUGGGCUAGAGGCAUCCGGAAGAAUGGAAGGAAACCAGAGAGUGGAUCAAAGGGAAGCCUUUGUUGCAGCCACCUUCCAGCCUCCCACCCUCAGUCGAGAGGUUGGUUUUUAAUUCCUGUUGAACGUCUUGGGUGGUUGAAUAUGUUUGUUUAAGAGAUGAUGUAUGUAGCUUAUUGUCUCUGCAGGAUUGUCAGCUGGUGGGUCCAGUGGCCCUAUGUCUUCAAGAAGAAGCUGGGCCAGGACACAUGUAAGGUGGGGCUGCUGUGUGCAGAGGCUCCACAGGACUUAGUAUCUUUAUAGCAACAGGACAGUGAGUCAUGGGGCCUGGAGGUCUCUCAUGAUCCAGAGGCUGUCAAAGGAGCCAAGCCUGCGGAGUCCAAGACCUUCAGGAAGGCUUGGAAACCAAGUGUGCUGAC
rnacentral:lncRNA from 1 species